AACGAACGCUGGCGGCGUGCUUAACACAUGCAAGUCGAACGCGAAAAGGGGUAACCCUCGGUAGCGUGGCAGACGGGUGAGUAACACGUGGGUAACCUGCCCGGAGGUGGGGGAUAACCCUUCGAAAGGAGGGCUAAUACCGCAUGACGCCCCGGGAUCUGCGGAUCCGUGGGAAACAAAGCUAGCCUCUUGUUUAACAAGCUAGCGCCACCGGGAGGGGCCCGCGUCCCAUUAGCUAGUUGGUGAGUA
rnacentral:rRNA from 1 species